GUUUGUAUAAAGGAGCAGAUAGACAAACUAAGAUGAAUUAAUAAUAAUAAACAUCAUAAUGGAAAAACUGAAGAAAAAAGUAAGUAACGAAAAAGAAACAACACAGAAUAUUUAACAACACAUAAACAUGAUAAACUUGUUUUCACACAAUGUAAACAAAACACAUAUAAACAUAUACACACAUGCGCCCCCACAUACAUUUGCUGAAACCAGAACAUACAUCUAUACAUGUACAUGUAUAUAUAUAUAUAAAAAUAUUGCUGAC
rnacentral:lncRNA from 1 species